GCCCGCGUGGUGGAAGUGGUAGACACAGGGGACUUAAAAUCCCUAGGCAUCGCGCCGUGCCGGUUCGAGUCCGGCCGCGGGCA
rnacentral:tRNA from 1 species